rnacentral:rRNA from 1 species
GUAGGUGGCAAGCGUUAUCCGGAAUUAUUGGGCGUAAAGCGCGCGCAGGCGGUUUCUUAAGUCUGAUGUGAAAGCCCACGGCUUAACCGUGGAGGGUCAUUGGAAACUGGGGAACUUGAGUGCAGAAGAGAAAAGCGGAAUUCCACGUGUAGCGGUGAAAUGCGUAGAGAUGUGGAGGAACACCAGUGGCGAAGGCGGCUUUUUUGGUCUGUAACUGACGCUGAGGCGCGAAAGCGUGGGGAGCAAACAGGGAUUAGAUACCCUGGUAGUCCACGCCGUAAACGAUGAGUGCUAAGUGUUAGAGGGUUUCCGCCCCUUUAGUGCUGCAGCUAACGCAUUAAGCACUCCGCCUGGGGAGUACGGUCGCAAGACUG